rnacentral:rRNA from 1 species
UACGUAGGGGGCAAGCGUUGUCCGGAAUCAUUGGGCGUAAAGAGCGUGUAGGCGGCCCGGUAAGUCCGCUGUAAAAGUCCAGGGCUCAACCCUGGAAAGCCGGUGGAUACUGUCGGGCUAGAGUCCGGAAGAGGAGAAUGGAAUUCCUGGUGUAGCGGUGAAAUGCGCAGAUAUCAGGAAGAACACCCGUGGCGAAGGCGGUUCUCUGGGACGGUACUGACGCUGAGACGCGAAAGCGUGGGGAGCGAACAGG